rnacentral:rRNA from 1 species
UACGUAGGGUGCGAGCGUUGUCCGGAAUUAUUGGGCGUAAAGGGCUCGUAGGCGGUCUGUCACGUCGGGAGUGAAAACACGGGGCUUAACCCCGUGCCUGCUUCCGAUACGGGCAGACUAGAGGUAUGCAGGAGAGAACGGAAUUCCUGGUGUAGCGGUGAAAUGCGCAGAUAUCAGGAGGAACACCGGUGGCGAAGGCGGGUCUCUGGGCCGAUACUGACGCUGAGGAGCGAAAGCGUGGGGAGCGAACAGG